GACGAACGCUGGCGGCGUGCCUAAUACAUGCAAGUAGAACGCAGUUGCGAACGGUUGCGUACCGCGUAGUUACCCUUCCUCAUAGCGGGGGAUACCUAUUGGUAACGCUAGCUAAUCCCGCAUACUGUGAGAUGCACCUGCGUUGUAUUAGGUAGUUGGUGAGGUAAAGGCUCACCAAGGCGCCGAUACAUAGCCGGCCUGCGAGGGUGAGUGGGCAAAAUGGGACGGGGAAACGGGCCAGACUCCUAAGGGAGGGAGCAGUAAGGAAUCUUCGGCAAAGGACGGAAGUCUGACCGAGCAACGGCGCGGGAGUGAAGAAGGUUUUCGGAACGGAAAGCUCUGUUGUUAGAGAAGCGGUAACUAACCAGAAAGGGACGGCUAACUACGUGCCAGCAGCCGCGGUAAUUC
rnacentral:rRNA from 1 species